rnacentral:rRNA from 1 species
UACGGAGGAUCCAAGCGUUAUCCGGAUUUAUUGGGUUUAAAGGGUGCGUAGGCGGCUUAUUAAGUCAGGGGUGAAAGACGGUGGCUCAACCAUCGCAGUGCCCUUGAUACUGAUGAGCUUGAAUACACUAGAGGUAGGCGGAAUGUGACAAGUAGCGGUGAAAUGCAUAGAUAUGUCACAGAACACCGAUUGCGAAGGCAGCUUACUAUGGUGUUAUUGACGCUGAGGCACGAAAGCGUGGGGAUCAAACAGGAUUAGAUACCCUGGUAGUCCACGCCCUAAACGAUGAAUACUCGCUGUUAGCGAUACACAGUUAGCGGCUAAGCGAAAGCGUUAAGUAUUCCACCUGGGGAGUACGCCCGCAAGGGUGAA